CAGGGUGUGUUGACAUUCAGUGAUGUGACUGUGGACUUCACAGGUGGAGAGGGAGUGCCUAGAUCCUGCUCAGAGCACUUUGCAGAGAGACCUGACGGUGGACAAUUAUAGCUGUCUUGUUUUUGUUGGUGAAGUGGAUUUACAGAGAACUGAAAGGAAGUUUCUCAAAAGAGGAGACUGUUUAUGUAAGAUUUCUGGAAAGGACACUCACAGGAGGAGCGAGAUGGCGUCAUUUCAGGAUCCAUUGACAUUCAAGGAUGUGUCCAUAGACUUCUCCCAGGAGGAGUGGGAAUGCCUAGACUCUGCUCAGAGGGCUUUGUACAGGGAGGUGAUGUUGGAGAACUACAGCAAUCUGGUGUCCGUAGGUCUUGCUGUGUGUAAGCCUGUUCUGGUCUCCUGU